rnacentral:misc_RNA from 1 species
UGGUUCUGGCAUNGAUGAAGAACGCAGCGAAAUGCGAUAAGUAGUGUGAAUUGCAGAAUUCAGUGAAUCAUCGAAUCUUUGAACGCACAUUGCGCCCUUUGGUAUUCCUUAGGGCAUGCCUGUUCGAGCGUCAUUUCAACCCUCAAGCCCCUUGGCUUGGUGUUGGGCGUUUGUCCUCCCCCCGGGACUCGCCUCAAAAGCAUUGGCAGCCGGUACGUUGGCUUCGAGCGCAGCACAAUCGCGCCCGGCGUCCGACGGUGCCCGGCUCUCCAGCAAGCCAACCCCCCAUUUUGACCUCGGAUCAGGUAGGGAUACCCGCUGA